CCCGCAUCAUAAUCCAGAUUACGGUUCGGGUCGGUUCGACUAUCUGAAGGGUUCUAACUUUCUAGGGUUUAAGCCAUGCGCUAAACUUCUGAGUUUCUCUACAGAUUGCCAAUUACGAAGACGAUGACCUCCAUGGUUGCACUGUCAAGAAGGCUUUGCCGCUCUCUCCUAUCGAAUUCAAAAGCUUCUCAUCAUUACGAUAUCCUCCCAGUAACCUAUUGCACUAAUAACCUUUCCUUCCGCUCGGUAUCAGACAUCACUGAGUCCGGUAUUGAAUCGGACUUGUACACGGAAUUGGACUCAAAUUCAGUAACUAAUCAACCUUCUCUCUCACCGUCCUCGUCCCAAUCACCCACCCAACCGAGACCGGUCUAUAAUCGACCUCUGGAAAAUGGCCUCGAUGCUGGCAUUUAUAAGGCUAUAUUGGUGGGUAAGGUGGGGCAAAGUCCAUUGCAGAAGCAGCUGAAGAGUGGAAGAACAGUGACGCUGUUAUCAGUUGGGACAGGGGGUAUUCGUAAUAAUCGGAGACCCUUGGCUAACGAGGAACCCAGAGAGUAUGCAAAUCGGUGCGCAGUUCAAUGGCAUCGGGUUUCGAUUUAUCCUACGAGACUGGGCAAUAUCGUCAUGAAGCAUGUUGUGCCCGGUUCAAUUUUGUAUUUGGAAGGGAACUUGGAGACCAAAAUCUUCACUGAUCAAGUCACUGGUCUUGUUCGACGUAUUAGAGAAGUUGCGAUUCGUGGCAAUGGACGGCUUGUAUUUUUGGGGAAGGGAGAAGGUAAUGCUCAGGAGUCCACCCCAUCAGAAUUCAGAGGUGUUGGCUAUUACUAAGAGACGUUUGCAGUUUUGUCAUCUGAAGUUGCAGGGGUCAUGGGCAUAGUUAUGGUUAGACAGAGUGAAUGCUGUCUUUUUGUGAAACAAGCAUCAGUACUUUCAAUGCGCAAGACAAUCUUUGAUGGGUUAUUAGAGGCACAUGUGUGAGCAAUGGAGCCACAUAAUAAAGGGAUAAUAAGGUGACGGAUAAUCUACAAAAAGCAACGUGAAGGUGACUGAGAUGAUUGCUGGAGGGAAACUUGCUUCUCAUCAAACUGCUUUUGGUGUAGAAAAAUUGUUCCGAACGUUAGAAGAAAAGUUAAUGUAUUUGAAUGUCUUUUUCUAUAAUUUAACCUAAAUUAAACAAUUGAAAGGUGUCACUUAACAUUUCUCGUGAUCAAAUUGGUGAUGUGUUAAAAUUAUUGCUCCGAAUAGAAUCAUAAUGUUUCGUACUACAAAA